rnacentral:lncRNA from 1 species
GCUGCUUGUGCAGGUUUGUUGUGGGAAUUGUCACUGCUAUUAUAGCCAAAAUUCCCUAACCAGAGCAGCCUAGAGGUCAGAGGUGUCCAGCAUGACUGACCAACGGGAAGGAGGAUUUGGAGGAUUUGGCCUUCAAUCCAGGUGAGCAGGGAUUGUACCAACAAAAACUGGACAGUGCACCCAGAUCCCCCAGACUCAGAACUAGAGGAAAGAAACAACUGUGAGCCUUGAAAUUGGUGGACCAUGCUGGCAAAUGACUGCAUACAAGCAAUGUUCUGUGAGGUUUUUUCUCAUAGGAUGGAAGUUGAGAGCUUCCCCUGCAGAUUGGCUCUAUGAUAUGUCUCAUCAAACUAUCAGCUCACUUAAGAAAAGUGAAUAAUGAUAACAGUCCCUCCUCCCCCACAUAGCCACAAGCUUACUGUAUACCAGACAUUGUUUAUGCCCCUGGAUUAAUUCGUGUGAUUCUCAUAAGCUACUACAACAUAGAGACUAUUGCUGUCCCCAUUCUACCAGUGAGCCUAUAAGUCCCUCCCUUUACUGGCUUGCUGAGAGCCACAGCCGAGUCUGUAUGGCCCCUGGCAUUUUGCCAACAGUAUUGAUUGACAGGCGAGGCAUUACUAUCCGCCUCUGCCGCUACUUUUGAGUUCUCGCACUAUUUUGGAGUUCUCCUAGGGAUUUCCAGGGAUUCCCAGAGAGUUCCCAUUGGUUGGGGAAGUGCAGGAGGAGGGAUUUCCGGGAGAGAUAUUUCCGGCUGGGGGUUUCCUGGGCAAGCCGCGUGGCAUUCAAGAGAAUUCCCCAGGAGCGUGUGUGAGGUUUUUUCUUG